rnacentral:rRNA from 1 species
AUGGGUCAGCGACUUAUAUUCUGUAGCAAGGUUAACCGAAUAGGGGAGCCGGAGGGAAACCGAGUCUUAACCGGGCGUUAAGUUGCAGGGUAUAGACCCGAAACCCGGUGAUCUAGCCAUGGGCAGGUUGAAGGUUGGGUAACACUAACUGGAGGACCGAACCGACUAAUGUUGAAAAAUUAGCGGAUGACCUGUGGCUGGGGGUGAAAGGCCAAUCAAACCGGGAGAUAGCUGGUUCUCCCCGAAAGCUAUUUAGGUAGCGCCUCGUGAAUUCAUCUCCGGGGGUAGAGCACUGUUUCGGCUAGGGGGCCAUCCCGGCUUACCAACCCGAUGCAAACUGCGAAUACCGGAGAAUGUUAUCACGGGAGACACACGGCGGGUGCUAACGUCCGUCGUGAAGAGGGAAACAACCCAGACCGCCAGCUAAGGUCCCAAAGUCAUGGUUAAGUGGGAAACGAUGUGGGAAGGCCCAGACAGCCAGGAUGUUGGCUUAGAAGCAGCCAUCAUUUAAAGAAAGCGUAAUAGCUCACUGGUCGAGUCGGCCUGCGCGGAAGAUGUAACGGGGCUAAACCAUGCACCGAAGCUGCGGCAGCGACACUGUGUGUUGUUGGGUAGGGGAGCGUUCUGUAAGCCUGUGAAGGUGUGUCGUGAGGCAUGCUGGAGGUAUCAGAAGUGCGAAUGCUGACAUAAGUAACGAUAAAGCGGGUGAAAAGCCCGCUCGCCGGAAGACCAAGGGUUCCUGUCCAACGUUAAUCGGGGCAGGGUGAGUCGACCCCUAAGGCGAGGCCGAAAGGCGUAGUCGAUGGGAAACGGGUUAAUAUUCCCGUACUUGGUGUUACUGCGAAGGGGGGACGGAGAAGGCUAUGUUGGCCGGGCGACGGUUGUCCCGGUUUAAGCGUGUAGGUGUGUGUUCCAGGUAAAUCCGGUUCACUUUAACACUGAGGCGUGACGACGAGGCACUACGGUGCUGAAGCAACAAAUGCCCUGCUUCCAGGAAAAGCCUCUAAGCAUCAGGUAACAUCAAAUCGUACCCCAAACCGACACAGGUGGUCAGGUAGAGAAUACCAAGGCGCUUGAGAGAACUCGGGUGAAGGAACUAGGCAAAAUGGUGCCGUAACUUCGGGAGAAGGCACGCUGACACGUAGGUGAAGUGAUUUACUCAUGGAGCUGAAGUCAGUCGAAGAUACCAGCUGGCUGCAACUGUUUAUUAAAAACACAGCACUGUGCAAACACGAAAGUGGACGUAUACGGUGUGACGCCUGCCCGGUGCCGGAAGGUUAAUUGAUGGGGUCAGCGCAAGCGAAGCUCCUGAUCGAAGCCCCGGUAAACGGCGGCCGUAACUAUAACGGUCCUAAGGUAGCGAAAUUCCUUGUCGGGUAAGUUCCGACCUGCACGAAUGGCGUAAUGAUGGCCAGGCUGUCUCCACCCGAGACUCAGUGAAAUUGAACUCGCUGUGAAGAUGCAGUGUACCCGCGGCAAGACGGAAAGACCCCGUGAACCUUUACUAUAGCUUGACACUGAACAUUGAGCCUUGAUGUGUAGGAUAGGUGGGAGGCUUUGAAGUGUGGACGCCAGUCUGCAUGGAGCCGACCUUGAAAUACCACCCUUUAAUGUUUGAUGUUCUAACGUGGACCCGUUACCCGGGUUGCGGACAGUGUCUGGUGGGUAGUUUGACUGGGGCGGUCUCCUCCUAAAGAGUAACGGAGGAGCACGAAGGUUGGCUAAUCCUGGUCGGACAUCAGGAGGUUAGUGCAAUGGCAUAAGCCAGCUUGACUGCGAGCGUGACGGCGCGAGCAGGUGCGAAAGCAGGUCAUAGUGAUCCGGUGGUUCUGAAUGGAAGGGCCAUCGCUCAACGGAUAAAAGGUACUCCGGGGAUAACAGGCUGAUACCGCCCAAGAGUUCAUAUCGACGGCGGUGUUUGGCACCUCGAUGUCGGCUCAUCACAUCCUGGGGCUGAAGUAGGUCCCAAGGGUAUGGCUGUUCGCCAUUUAAAGUGGUACGCGAGCUGGGUUUAGAACGUCGUGAGACAGUUCGGUCCCUAUCUGCCGUGGGCGCUGGAGAACUGAGGGGGGCUGCUCCUAGUACGAGAGGACCGGAGUGGACGCAUCACUGGUGUUCGGGUUGUCAUGCCAAUGGCACUGCCCGGUAGCUAAAUGCGGAAGAGAUAAGUGCUGAAAGCAUCUAAGCACGAAACUUGCCCCGAG